ACUUCCGGCGACGCUCUGGGCAGCGGGAGGACAGCGCGCUCGGCGGCGGGAGAGCGGGACGGCCCAGCCGCGGCGCCUUCAGCUCAUCGGUUGCCCGCAGGCGCCGGCCGAGUCCUUCCUGCCGGGCAGGAAGCCCUGCCUCGUGGGGGGCAAGGUCGAGCCGUUGGCGCGCCGGGAUCCGGCUCGAGCCAACUGAGGACCGGGCACCCGCAGGACGUGUCAGGAGGUGUCGAAGGCCCGCUGUGGGGCGGCCACGCGCGUUCCCGUCCGUUCCCCGCGGCGUCCCGCGCUUGUCCCGGGUCCCGCUCGGCUCACGGGACCCUCCAGGCCCCCGGGGCUGUGGCAGCACGCGGGUCCCGAGCGUGGGCUUCCUUGGGGCCGAGAGCUUGGAGCGCCCCAGGCGCUGCCCCCCGCCUCCCUGCAGGACGCCGCCCUCGCGUCUCCGCUGCAGAGAAGCCCUUGCUGCCCGCCUCUCGCGGGCUCUGGGCUCUUUCUCACCAGGGACCGAGCUCUCAUUCGUUCAGCCUUCCCCGGCUGGAAUGCUGCAAAAGUGACGCUUUUCAUCAUGGGUGCAAAGUGUACAGCUGCAAUGUGGACUUGUUCCCUCUUACAACGAGUAGACAGACCCUCUCUGGGGAGAAAAGAAAGGCUGAAGAACCGAUUCCCAUGAGAGAACCCUAAGAAGACAGCAACAGAGGGCCAGACGCGCCCCUGGAACUGGACCCUGGACUGGGGCGGGAGGGCCACAGCCUUGGGAGCCCAGGUCCCUGCCCGCGCCUCCGACAGUCCCGCGCCGCCGCCACCCGGCAUCUGCCUCUGGGCCUCCACAUCUCGUGCCUGGAACCGCGUUCAUUGCGCACUGCACCAGUAAACACCUGAACACUCCCACCACAUGCUGCACGUUUAUUUGUAACAAAUUAGAAGCUGUUGUAAAAGAUAAAAAUUAAAACACUUAGACUGGGUGGGCGAGAGGCUCAUGAAUGUAAUCCCAGCACUUUGGGAGGCCAAGGCAGGAGGAUUGUUUGAGUCCAGGAGUUUCAGACCAGCCUGAGCAACAUAGUUAGAACCGUGUCG
rnacentral:lncRNA from 1 species